AUUGAACGCUGGCGGCAUGCCCUACACAUGCAAGUCGAACGGCAGCACGGGUGCUUGCACCUGGUGGCGAGUGGCGAACGGGUGAGUAAUACAUCGGAACGUACCUUAUCGUGGGGGAUAACGCAGCGAAAGCUGUGCUAAUACCGCAUACGCCCUGAGGGGGAAAGCGGGGGAUCGAAAGACCUCGCGCGAUUAGAGCGGCCGAUGCCUGAUUAGCUUGUUGGUGGGGUAAAAGCCCACCAAGGCGACGAUCAGUAGCUGGUCUGAGAGGACGAUAAGCCACACUGGGACUGAGACACGGCCCAGACUCCUACGGGAGGCAGCAGUGGGGAAUUUUGGACAGUGGGGGCAACCCUGAUCCAGCAAUGCCGCGUGAGUGAAGAAGGCCUUCGGGUUGUAAAGCUCUUUUGUCAGGGAAGAAACACCGGCUCUAACACAGUCCGGGAAUGACGGUACCUGAAGAAUAAGCACCGGCUAACUACGUGCCAGCAGCCGCCGUAA
rnacentral:rRNA from 1 species